CGACGUUGUGUAGUCUCCCCUGGCAAAGGAGAGUCAGGCGAGUCCACGUGAGGGAAGCCCCCGCUGUGCGCGGAGCCCUCUGCUGGGCGGAGGGGGAGUGCCAGCCCCCAGGAGCUAAUCCCCGGCUGAUGGCGCAGGGCGCGGGGCUUGGCCGUGGAGUGUGAUGAAGGAGGCGACCCCCAAGGUGGGAAGGAGCACGGGUUGGGGUUUGAGGGUGGAUGAUUGGUGACGGAGGGUGUAUCUUCAGGAGGAGGUUCGAGUGAAGAUCAAAGACUUGAAUGAACACAUUGUUUGCUGCCUAUGCGCCGGCUACUUCGUGGAUGCCACCACCAUCACAGAGUGUCUUCAUACUUUCUGCAAGAGUUGUAUUGUGAAGUACCUCCAAACUAGCAAGUAUUGCCCCAUGUGCAACAUUAAGAUCCACGAGACACAGCCACUGCUCAACCUCAAACUGGACCGGGUCAUGCAGGACAUCGUGUAUAAGCUGGUGCCUGGCUUGCAAGACAGUGAGUCACCAACCUGACUUUGAGGGGCCUCUUGAGGACUAAUUGCUGAGUGGCAGCUUGAGGUGACAGGGGUUUGGUAGGACUCACGUAGGCAGAAGGCCAAAGAUGAGGGAAGGACAAAAAGUGAGGAAGGGCUAUAAUACUUUAUUCUCCUUUUUUUUCUUUUUUUGAGACGGAGUCUUGCCCAGGCUGGAGUGCAGUGGCGCAAUCUCAGCUCAUUGCAAGCUCCACCUCCCGGAUUCACGCCAUUCUCCUGCCUCAGCCUCCUGAGUAUCUGGGACUACAGGCGCCCACCACCACGCCCAGCUAAUUUUUUGUAUUUUUUAGUAGAGAUGGGG
rnacentral:sRNA from 1 species